GAUGAUGGCUCUGAUUGAACGCUAUCCAAGUGCUUGACACAUGCUAAUCGAACGUCUAAUUUAAUUAGAAAUAAUUUAAAAAGAAGUGGUGUUCUGGUGAGUAAACGAUAUUAUGGCUACCUUGGAGUAAGGGACAUUAAAAUACCUUAUAUAAUACAAAAAAUAUGUAUAAAAAGAAAUUUAUUUUCGCUCCUAGAUGGAAAUUAAUAUCUCGGGCAGGUAGUAGUUAAGGUAAUGGCUUAACUAGCUUAUGUCCGUAGUCGAGACUGAGAGGUCGAUCGAUCACAUUGGGUCUGAAAAAACCCCAAUACGUAUAGUACAGCAGUGAGGAAUAUUGGUCAAUGGCCUAACGGCUGAACCAGCAACUUGGGGGAAUGGAUAUAUAUAUUAGAUAUAAUAUAUAAUACCGACUCUGUCGGAUAAAGUUCUAGAUAGAAGAAUGAUAAUGACAAUUUUCUAUCUAUAUGUCUUGACCAAAUCUUGUGCCAGCAGUCGCGGCAACACAAGGGAGACUAGUGUUAUUCAUCUUUAUUAGGUUUAAAGGGUACCUAGACGGUAUAUCAAGCCCCAAAAGGGAACGGGUAUACUAGAGUUUUAUGUGAGAGGCAAAUAUAGUACUAUUGGUGUAGAGAUAAAAUUCAUUGAUACCUCUAGGCACGGGUAACGGCGAAGGCAAUCCUCUAUGUAAAAACUGACGUUGAGGGACGAAGGCUUGGGGAGCGAAUAGGAUUAGAUACCCUAGUAGUCCAGGCAGACAAUUAUGAAUGUCAUAGAUUAGAUUAUAAUAGUAAGAAAUAAGAAAGAGAGUAAGAUAAUUACUAAAAAAAAAAAGGGUUAGAUGUCUUCACCUCCCUAUUUUUUUUGAUCUAUAAAUGAAAGUGUAAGCAUUCCACCUCAAGAGUAAUGCGGCAACGCAGGAACUGAAAUCAUUAGACCGUUUCUGAAACCAGUAGUGAAGUAUGUUAUUUAAUUCGAUGAUCCGC
rnacentral:rRNA from 1 species